rnacentral:rRNA from 1 species
UACGUAGGGGCAAGCGUUGUCCGGAUUUAUUGGGCGUAAAAGGCUUGUAGGUGGCCACGCCAAGUCGGAUGUGAAAUCUCCCGGCUCAACUGGGAGGGUCAUUCGAUACUGGUGGGCUCGAGCCGGUAGGGGAAGCGGAAUUCCCGGUGUAGUGGUGGAAUGCGUAGAUAUCGGAGGAACACCAGUGGCGAAGGCGGCUUCCUGGACCGGUUCUGACACUGAGGAGCGAAAGCGCUGGGAGC